AGAGUUUGAUCCUGGCUCAGAUUGAACGCUGGCGGCAUGCUUUACACAUGCAAGUCGAACGGUAACAGGCCGCAAGGUGCUGACGAGUGGCGAACGGGUGAGUAAUGCAUCGGAACGUGCCCAGUCGUGGGGGAUAACGCAGCGAAAGCUGCGCUAAUACCGCAUACGAUCUAUGGAUGAAAGCGGGGGACCGAAAGGCCUCGCGCGAUUGGAGCGGCCGAUGUCAGAUUAGGUAGUUGGUGGGGUAAAGGCUCACCAAGCCGACGAUCUGUAGCUGGUCUGAGAGGACGACCAGCCACACUGGAACUGAGACACGGUCCAGACUCCUACGGGAGGCAGCAGUGGGGAAUUUUGGACAAUGGGCGCAAGCCUGAUCCAGCAAUGCCGCGUGCAGGAAGAAGGCCUUCGGGUUGUAAACUGCUUUUGUACGGAACGAAACGG
rnacentral:rRNA from 1 species